rnacentral:rRNA from 1 species
GACGGAGGAUGCAAGCGUUAUCCGGAAUGAUUGGGCGUAAAGGGUCCGCAGGUGGCCCGGUCAGUCCGCUGUCAAAGCCUGGGGCUCAACCCUGGAGAGGCGGCGGAGACCACCGGGCUUGAGUCCGGUAGGGGCAGAGGGAAUUCCCGGUGGGGCGGUGAAAUGCGUAGAGAUCGGGAAGAACACCGGUGGCGAAGGCGGGUCUCUGGGCCGAUACUGACGCUGAGGAGCGAAAGCGUGGGGAGCGAACAGG